rnacentral:lncRNA from 1 species
GCAAUUACAGCCGUUCAACAUUAUACGAUCCCAUGAUCCACAGGCUAUUCAGCUCCUUAUUUUGCAGGUUGCUUGGCAUUAAACCUGGCCCCACCUCUUGAAGCACUCAACUUUACAAUCCGCAACGCCUUCCGCAUCUGCAAAAUGGCCAACGUGAGCACAAGAUCAUCAGCUAGAACAGACGAUUCUUCUUUUUUUGCAUUGUUAAUAAGAAUGCCUGUGAGAUGUUUCUGAUUUCCUACUCCAUGAACCCCUCGUAUGCCCACUGAUAUUAUGGCCUCUAUUAGUAUCAGAUAUAGCCAAUAACUGAUAUUCUAGCCUCUGUUUGUGAUGUUGGUUUCGUCUAAUAAUGCUGUGAUGAUUCAAAUUUGCCGAUCUCCAUGUUGGAUGAAUGGCAACUACAUUCACUCGAGGGCCAAAGGCCAAUACAUAUACAUGUGUAGGGUAAAGUGCAAGGGACCCCUUAUACAAUGGGGAUAAACCGAAAAGGGCUAUACACAUCUAACACCCCCCUCAAACUCAUGGUGGAUCAACAACACUGAGUUUAGAGAGAAGAAAACUAUGAUGCGCGCGAGUCUGAGCCUUCGUGAAAAAGUCCGCCAACUGUAACUCACAGGGCACAUAGUGAAGAGCAAGUGUCUGAUCUUGCACAGCGGCACGCACAAAGUGGGCAUCCACACCGAUGUGCUUGGUGAGCUCAUGCUUCACCGGGUCACGCGCAAUACUGAUAGCGCCAGUACUGUCUGACAAUAAGGGAGUCGAGGUAGUAGCAGACACACCAAAAUCCUCAAGGAUCCACCGUAACCAGAUCACUUCAGCCGUCAGCAUGGCCAUGGCUCGCAACUCAGACUCUAUACUCGAGCGAGAAACUGCAGUCUGUUUCUUGGUCUUCCAGGCAAUAAGAGAGCCACCAAGAAAGACACAAUAAGCAGAUGGCGAGCGUCGAUCAGAGGGAUCACUAGCCCAGGUAGCAUCUGAGUAGGCCUGGAGCUCAAGAGAGCUGGAGCGGGGAAAGAAAAGGCGCUGAGAGAUCGUGCCACGAAGAUAUCGUAGAACACGGAGGAGAUGACUAUAGUGGACAGAGGUGGGGGCUGAAACGAACUGACUCAGAAUGUGGACGGGAUAGGAGAUGUCAGGACGCGUAACAGCAAGAUAGACAAGACUGCCAACAAGGUGACGAUAGCGAGUGGGAUUAGGAAGAGGGUCACCAUCAGAGGCACGAAGCUGAACAUUGAGCUCCAUGGGAGUCACAACGGUGCGCUCAUCACCGAGAGCAGCACGAGCAAGGAGAUCCUGAAUAUAUUUUUCUUGGGAGAUGUAGAAGCCAUCAGAGGUCGAGGAGAUCUCAAUCCCAAGAAAAUAGCGAAGUGGACCAAGAUCAGUCAUGAGAAACUGGUCGCGAAGGCGAGCCUUAACAAAGGCAAUAUAAUCAGAGUCGUCACCAGUGAUGAUCAUGUCAUCAACAUAGAGAAGGAGAAGAGUCCGGCCAUGAGGAGAUGUGUGAACAAACAACGCGGGAACAUGAUCACUGGGCAAGAAACUAGCGGUGAUCACCACAGAGGCGAAGCGCUCAAACCAGGCGCGAGGGGCCUGUUUGAGACCAUAUAGGGAGCGGCGAAGUCUACAGACCAUACCAUCAGGAGCAUAGUACCCCGGUGGUGGCUUCAUAUAAACCUCCUCACGCAACUCACCAUUGAGAAAAGCGUUCUGAACAUCAAGUUGAGAGAUAGACCACUGGCGGACAGAAGCCACAGCAAGAAGAGUGCGGACAAUGGUCAUGUGGGCCACAGGAGCAAAUGUCUCACCAUAGUCGCGCCCCUGCUCCUGCUGAAAACCAUGGGCCACAAGACGAGCUUUGUAGCGCUUAAGAGAACCAUCGGAGCGAGUCUUAAGCUUGUAGACCCACUUGCAGGUGAUGGGACAGACACCGGAAGGGAGGGGAACCAGAUCCCAUGUGCCAGAACGCUCAAGGGCAGCAAGCUCUUCGGCCAUCGCAAGUUUCCAUUCAGGCUGAGUCAUGGCAGUGCGAUAGGAAGUGGGCUCAGUCAGAACAGAGAGACCGUACCGAUCAGGGGAGUAGCGAUCAGGCGGGGGGCGAGGCCGAGCAUGGAGGUUAUGAACCGGGGAGGCGUGGGAGGAGGUGCACCAGAGGUGGAAGGCUCGUCAGAGGAGACAUCCUCAGUACGAGAUCGACGAGUAUAGUGGAGAGGAAAUGGGGAGAGAGGCCAACGGAUUGGAGAAGAUGGGGGAGAGGUGGAGGAGGAGGAUGGAGGAGAUGGAGAAGACGGGGUCGGUGAUGAAUGAGAAGGAAUGAGAGGUGCCGGAGGAAGAGGUGACACAUGAGGCACAUAACAGGGUGUAUCGGGAAGAAGAAGGAAAGAAAGAUCGUCCACAGAAAAACGCGAGGAAGAAGAACGGGGAUAGUAAGAGCAAGACUCGUCAAAGGUCACAUCACGCGAGAUGCGCAAGCGACGACCCACUGGAUCCCAACAUCGAUAGCCCUUGUGCUCAUUACUGUAGCCAAGGAAAACACACUCAACUGACUGAGCAGUCAGUUUGGUGCGUUCUCGGGGGGCAAGAAGAACAUAGCAGACGCAUCCAAACAUACGAAGAGCUGAGUAGUCAGGAGAGCGACCAGUGAGACACUCCAUAGGAAUGCCACCCUGCAGAGCAGUCGAUGGCUGAAUGUUGAUGAGAUAGGUGGAUGCGGAAACAGUCUCAGCCUAAAAAUGGGGUGGAAGGGAAGCAGCAAUCAUCAACGCACGAGCCGUCUCAAGCAAAUGACGAUGCUUUCGCUCGGCAACGCCAUUCUGAGCAUGAGCACCAGGACAGGAGAACUGGGCAAGAGUACCCUGUUCCGCGAGGAAACCACGCAACAACUGAGAGAUAUACUCUCCAGCGGAGUCAGCAUGAAAAUUACGAAUGGGCGUGGCAAACUGGGUGUGAACCAUAGCAGCAAAAUGUUUGUAUAUAGGGAGAACCUCGCUACGAGAUUUCAUGAAGUAGAGCCAAGUGUAGCGAGAGAAAUCAUCAAUAAACAAAACAUAGUAGUGAUGACCACCUUUCGAAUCAAAGGGAGCGGGACCCCAGACAUCAGAAUGAACUAAGUCAAAAGGACGCUGAGAUACAGACUCACUAGUAGGAUAAGGUAACCGGGUCUGUUUUCCAAGUCUGCAACCAUUACAAUGUAAGGAGACAUCUCCACAUACAGACCCUAAGAGGCCCUGACGAACUAAGGAAGACAAGCGAGAGCCACAGAUGUGACCAAGUCGAUGAUGGCACUGCUGGAAGGACGCAGACGAAGAGGCAGCAAGAGCAUGAGAGCUGGCAGAAGUGGUGGCAGCGGAAGGAACACAAAGCCAGCCAACCUCCCAAAGGCCCUCUGACUCACGGCGCCGGGGGCCAGCACCAACCAAAGCCUUGGUGCGACGAUCCUGAAUGGAGCAAGAGUCGAUAUCAAGAAUGACAUGACAACCAGAAUCAGUAAGUUGGGCAGCGGAAAAAAGAUUCAUGGUAAGGCGAGGAACAUGUGAAACACUUGGAACAGAAAAAGAAGGAGUGGAAAGAAUACCACGACUAGCAACAGGAAGAGAUGUGCCAUCGGCAGUAAGAACAUUAACAGGCGAAUUAAGAGGCCGAAGAGAAGACAAGGCGAAAGAAUCAGAAGACAUAUGAAAGGAGGCUCCAGAAUCCAGAACCCACGAAGAUGUACCUGACUGUGUAGAUGCCUCUGAUGGUGAGGAGGAAGGGGCAGUCACAUCAGCAGCAGAGCCAGUCGACGAGGAGCCUGAGGAAGCCAGAAGACGCUUGAGGCGAACAAUGUCCUGGUCAGUGAGUGAUGGAGUCGAGGAUGACAUAGGAGGCCUGCUGGAGGUGGAGCGCCUCUGGUCUCGCUUCUUCUGGCGACAGUCAGACUCUGGGUGACCCGGCCGGGAGCAAUAACCACAGACGGUGUCAUGGCGCGACGUGCCCUUCUCAGCAUAAGGAGGACGGCUGACCCCCCCCUGGAGGAGUAGGCAGGAGUGGUGGAGCGGUGAGGCGAGCAGAUGACACAGGAGCUCGGACGGCUAGCACUGACGGAACCAGAAGCAACCCAGUAGAGCGAAGACGAGUCUCCUCAGCACGGAGCUCGGCAAGUACCUCCGAGAUAGGAACACGACCACGAGCAAGCAAGUGAGCACGUCGAGGCUCAAACUCAGACCGGAGACGAGAUAAGAACUCAUGAACCCGCUGAAACUCCAGAUCAGACCGAGUAGUCUGACAACAACGACAUGUUCCACAAACAACUGUCCGAAGAGAGUCAAGCUGGCGCCAGAUGGCAGAGCACUGUGAAUAGAACUCAUCAACAGAAGAAUCACCUUGCUGAAGUGCAUGCUCCUGAUGCACCACAGAUAGGUAAAGAGCAUCACCAGAGGGCUGAUAGCGCUGACACAGAUAAGACCACAUCGCUGCAACUGUGCUAAGUCCCAUGAACUCCGAAGCAAACUGAGGGAGAACACUCGCAGUGAGAACAGCAGCCGCUCGAGCAUCAUCAUUGCAACACUGAGUGUAAGCAGACAGAUCAUCCCGGUAGACAGUAAGAGCAUCAGAAUAGGCAGAUACCUGCUGAUCAUAAGUAGCAACUAUAGCAUCAUCAAGAGUCUUGGCUGCAUCACGAUCAGCCUGAGAAGUAUCAGGAGCAAUCACCGGCGGUGCUGGCGGAACAGGCGCCACCGGAGCAACAGGACACGGCGGACAUGGUACCUCGCCAGAAAGAACACCCCACAGCAGAAGGCCGCGCAUAUGAAUACGCAUGAAACCGGCAAACUCAGCAUAGUUGGUGCCAUCAAAGAUCACCGAGCAGCGAGGAACAGCCACAUAGCCCGAAGAUGACAUACUGAGGUAUCCCUUUGUGUUGUUUCUGCCCUUUUUUUGAAGUCAACAUGUACAGGAAAACCCAAUCUGGAUCGAGAGAAACACGAGCGCUCGCUCACGCCCUCGCUCGGGCAAUCGAGGCGAGCAGGGCCAGUGGCUUGAGCUCGAGCAAAGCGGGCGGGUUGGGGACCCCCGCUCGAAGCAGAGCAGUCGGGUGGGGAACCUCCGCUCGAAGCAGAGCAGCAGCCGAGCAGGCCCGAUGGGACAGCACCCAGACGGAGAACUCAAGCGGCGGCCUGCCUCAAGCCAAGCGGAGCAGGGGAGCACCAGCGGCCCGGCGGUAGGAGGCGCGGCAGCAGGGUGGAGCAGACCGGGGCGGACAGAGCCGCGGCGAGGAGGUCCAGGGCGGCCUGAUUCGUCGGGAGGAGAGCCAGGACGGUCAGAGCCGCAGCGAGAAGGUCCGGGGCGGCCGGUUUCUCGGAGAGGAGAGCCGGGACGGCCGGAUCCACGACAAGAAGAGCCGGACCUGGCUGUGGGCGAAUCGGGGGAGGAGCUAGCACGGAGUUGCAGCGUGCGGGAGAGAAGGGAACCUAACAUCUGAUACCAUGUUGGAUGAAUGGCAACUACAUUCACUGGAGGGCCAAAGGCCAAUACAUAUACAUGUGUAGGGUAAAGUGCAAGGGCCCCUUAUACAAUGGGGAUAAACCGAAAAGGGCUAUACACAUCUAACACUCCACAACAGUGAAACUAAUUUUUAUUGCUCGAGUCAUACAAAGUCGCAGAUAUCAAUUUGAUGGCUUUUCCAUGUCCUGCAGGUAUCAGAGUUACGUUUUGGUGGCUGAGAUGCAGAAGUGGCUCGUUUGAUGCGAUGCACACGGAAAUUUACCUUUAUGUAGGAUGCAGUGGUCAGCUGUGAAGUGGACUCGUAGGAAUUAAUCACUUAUUUGCUCAAACCCGUCUUGUUAUCAAACACAGUCAAUUGACCAACUGACAUGGAGACAUAAGAAUUGCUUGUAUUAAUCAGUACCUUUCAGUUGAUCUUUGUUUGCAUGCAUUCUGUGUGUGUGUGUGUGUGUGCAUAUUUUUAUUGUUUUGUUUUGCUUGCUGUUCCAUGUUGUCUCUGACGGAGAGAAUUCCGCAUCAAAUUUAAUUUCUGCUCCUGUCCCAUUUUGCGUGUUUGUUUUGUAUCUGGUUCUGACUGAUCAAUGUUGAGUUGCUUGCUUUCGCUGGAUUCAGGAAGGUUUCUGUGAGAUUGCUAAUGUUUUAACCUGUUAUGAUAUAAACAUGCCACUUUGAGAUUUGCAAAACUUAACACAAGUGAUGCGCCGACGCGCGGAAACACAUGUUGCUUCUCACGCACCUGCUGUUGUUGCUGCUGCCGAGGGCGUCCUCUGAAGCCGCCGCUGCCAUUAGAGGGAGAGGGCUGCCGGUCACCGCGGUCACCACUACGGUCGCGCCCCCUUCGUCCUCGCCCGUGAUAGGAUCUGUCACGGGAUGAGCCACGGCCUCUAUAGACUGCAUUAGCGGAUGUAUGAAACCCGCCUGAAGAAGAGUCGCCCAACAUCUCCAUCCUUUGAUCAAAGGCAGAGAUCUGAGCAAAAAGAUCAUCGGCGGUGAUGCUGUUCUUGACAGCGCCGAUCGCCGCCACCACGGAGUCGUAGUCGCGGUCCAGACCUGCAAGUAUCACUAGUAGAAAAGGGGGCAAUGGUCCAGGCCGGGUAAGCCCAUUAGUCCCGGUUCAAUCCAGAAACGGGACCAAUGGGGGCAUUGGACCUGGUUUGUGAGCCCCGAGGGCCGGCCGGGCCACGUGGGCCAUUGGUCCCGGUUCGACUGGACCUAUUGGUCCCGGUUGGUGGGACGAACCGGGACCAAUGGGCCUCGCUCCUGGCCCACCACCAUUGGUCCCGGUUGGUGGUGUGAACCGGGACCAAAGGCCACCCAAUAGUCCCGGUUCGUGGCACGAACCGGGACCAAUUAGUUGCCUAUAUAUACCCCUCGCUCGCGAGCAGAGCACUCUGAGUGCUCUGUUUUUCGUGGCCGGCGAGGGGAGAGCAUUGUGGUGCUCUAGCUCACCUCCUAUGUGUUGGGGAACGUAGCAGAAAUUCAAAAUUUUCCUAUGUGUCACCAAGAUCUAUCUAUGGAGAAACCAGCAACGAGGGGAAGGAGAGUGCAUCUACAUACCCUUGUAGAUCGCUAAGCGGAAGCGUUCAAGAGAACGGGGUUGAAGGAGUCGCACUCGUCGUGAUCCAAAUCACCGGAGAUCCUAGUGCCGAACGGACAGCACCUCCGCGUUCAACACACGUACAGCCCGGUGACGUCUCCCAUGCCUUGAUCCAGCAAGGAGAGAGGGAGAGGUUGAGGAAGACUUCAUCCAGCAGCAGCACAACAGCGUGGUGGUGAUGGAGGAGCGUGGCAAUCCUGCAGGAUUUCGCCAAGCACCGCGGGAGAGGAGGAGUACUUGGGAGAGGGGGAGGGCUGCGCCAGAACUUGUGGUGCGGCUGCCCUCCCACCCCCCACAUAUAUAUAGGGGCAAAGGAGAGGGGGGCUGGCCCCCUCAGAUCCAAUCCGAGGAGGGGGCGGCGGCCAAGGGGGGGAGGAGUGCCUCCCAAGUCAAGUGGAGGCCCUCCCCCUUAGGGUUUUCCCCUUCCCAUGCGCAUGGGCCUUGGGGGGGCUGGUUCCCCUGGCCCAUUAAGGCUAGGGCGCCCCCUUACAGCCCAUGCUUCUGUAUUGGACGUGGUGGAACAAUUUCCGGACCUCCGGACCCCUCCGGAAUCCUCCGGAACCUUCUGGAAGCUUCCCGGUACAAUACCGGAAAAACCCGAACUUUUCCCGGAACCCGAACAACAACUUUCCAUAUAUAAAUCUUUACCUCCGGACCAUUCCGGAACUCCUGGUGACGUCCGGGAUCUCAUCCGGGACUCCGAACAACAUUCGGUAAUAACAUACAAACUUCCUUUAUAACCCUAGCGUCAUCGAACCUUAAGUGUGUAGACCCUACGGGUUCGGGAGACAUGUAGACAUGACCGAGACGUUCUCCGGUCAAUAACCAACAGCAGGAUCUGGAUACCCAUGUUGGCUCCCACAUGUUCCACGAUGAUCUCGUCGGAUGAACCACGAUGUCAAGGACUCAAUCGAUCCCGUAUACAAUUCCCUUUGUCUAACGGUAUUGUACUUGCCCGAGAUUCGAUCGUCGGUAUGCCGAUACCUAGUUCAAUCUCGUUACCGGCAAGUCUCUUUACUCGUUCCGUAAUACAUCAUCCCAUGAUCAACCCUUUGAUCACAUUGUGCACAUUAUGAUGAUGUCCUACCGAGUGGGCCCAGAGAUACCUCUCCGUUUACAUGGAGUGACAAAUCCCAAUCUCGAUUCGUGCCAACCCAACAGACACUUUUGGAGAUACCUGUAGUGCACCUUUAUAGCCACCCAGUUACGUUGUGACGUUUGGUACACCCAAAGCGUUCCUAUAGUAUCCGGGAGUUGCACAAUCUCGUGGUCUAAGGAAAUGAUACUUGACAUUAGAAAAGCUUUAGCAUACGAACUACGAUCUUUGUGCUAGGCUUAGGAUUGGGUCUUGUCCAUCACAUCAUUCUUCCAAUGAUGUGAUCCCGUUAUCAAUGACAUCCAAUGUCCAUGGUUAGGAAACCGUAACCAUCUAUUGAUCAACGAGCUAGUCAACUAGAGGCUUACUAGGGACAUGGUGUUGUCUAUGUAUCCACACAUGUAUCUGAGUUUCCUAUCAAUACAAUUAUAGCAUGGAUAAUAAACGAUUAUCAUGAACAAGGAAAUAUAAUAAUAACUAAUUUAUUAUUGCCUCUAGGGCAUAUUUCCAACAGUCUCCCACUUGCACUAGAGUCAAUAAUCUAGUUCACAUCGCCAUGUGAUUAACACUCACAGGUCACAUCGCCAUGUGACCAACAUCCAAAGAGUUUACUAGUGUCAUUAAACUAGUUCACAUCAUCAUGUGAUUAAGACUCAAUGAGUUCUGGGGUUUGAUCAUGUUUUGCUUGUGAGAGAGGUUUUAGUCAAUGGGUCUGCAACAAUCAGAUCUGUAUGUACUUCGCAAUUCUCUAUGUCAUAUUGUAAAUGCUGCUUCCACGCUCCACUUGAAGCUAUUCCAAAUGGUUGCUCCACUAUACGUAUCCGGUUUGCUACUCAGAGUCAUUCAGAUAGGUGUUAAAGCUUGCAUCGUCGUAACCCUUUACGCCGAACUCUUUAUCACCUCCAUAAUCGAGAAAUAAAUCCUUAUUACUCCAAGGACAAUUUUGACCGCUAUCUGGUGAUCCACUCCUUGAUCACCUUUGUACCCUCUUGCCAGACAUGUGGCAAGGCACAUAUCAUGUGCGGUAUAUAGCAUAGCAUACUGUAGAGCCUACGUCUAAAGCAUAGGGGACGACCUUCAUCCUUUCUCUCUUUUUUCUGCCGUGGUCGAGCUUUAAGUCUUAACUUCAUACCUUACAACUCAGCCAAGAACUCCUUUGACUGAUCCAUCUUGAACACUUUCAAGAUCAUGUCAAGGUAUGUGCUCAUUUUGAAAGUACCAUUAAGCAUUUUGAUCCAUCCUCAUAGAUCUUGAUGCUCAAUGUUCAAGUAGCUUAAUCCAGGUUUUCCCUUGAAAAACACUUUUCAAAUAACCCUAUAUGCUUUCCAGAAAUUCUACAUCAUUUCUGAUCAACAAUAUGUCAACAACAUAUACUCAUCAUAAAUUCUAUAGUGCUCCCACUCACUUCUUUGGAAAUACAAGUUUCUCAUAAACUUUGUAUAAACUCAAAAUCUUUGAUCAUCUCAUCAAAGCGUUCAUUCCAACUCCGAGAUGCUUACUCCAGUCCUUAGAAGGAUCGCUGGAGCUAGCAUACCUUUUAGCACCCUUAGGAUUGACAAAACCUUUCUGAUUGUAUCGCAUACAACCUUUCCUUACGAAAACUGGUAAGGAAACUAGUUUUGACAUCCAUCUGCCAGAUUUCAUAAAUGCAGCUAAUGCUAACAUGAUUCCGACGGACUUUAAGCAUCGCUACGGAUGAGAAAAUCUCAUCGUAGUCAACUCCUUGAACUUGUGAAAAACUCUUCGCCACAAGUCGAGCUUCAUAGAUGGUGACAUUACCGUCCACGUCCGUCUUCUUCUUAAAGAUCCAUUUAUCUCAAUGGCUUGCCGAUCAUCGGGCAAGUCCACCAAAGUUCAUGCUUUGUUCUGAUACAUGGAUCCUAUCUCGGAUUUCAUGGCUUCUAACCAUUUGUCGGAAUAUGGGCCCACCAUCGCUUCUCCAUAGCUCGUAGGUUCAUUGUUGUCUAGCAACAUGACCUUCAAGACAGGAUUACUGUACCACUCUGAAGUAGUAUGCAUCCUAGUCACCCUACGAGGUACGGUAGUGACUUGAUCCAAAACUUCAUGAUCACUAUCAUAAGCUUCUACUUCAAUUGGUGUAGGCGCCACAGGAACAACUUCCUGUGCCCUGCUACACACUUGUUGAAGUGACGGUUUAAUAACCUCAUCAAGUCUCCACCAUCCUCCCACUCAACUCUUUCGAGAGAAACUUUUCCUCGAGAAAGGACCCGUUUCUAGAAACAAUCCCUAUUGCUUUUAGAUCUCAAUUAGGAGGUAUACCCAACUGUUUUGGGUGUCCUAUGAAGAUGCAUUUUAUCCGCUUUGGGUUCGAGCUUAUCAACCUGAAACUUUUUCACAUAAGCAUUGCAGCCCCAAACUUUUAAGAAAUGACAACUUAGGUUUCUCCAAACCAUAGUUCAAACGGUGUCAUCUCAAUGGAAUUACAUGGUGCCCUAUUUGAAAGUGAAUGCGGUUGUCUCUAAUGCCUAACCCAUGAACGAUAGUGGUAAUUCGAUAAGAGACAUCAUGGUACGCACCAUAUCCAAUAGGGUGCAACUAUGAUGUUCGGACACACCAUCACACUAUGGUGUUCCAGGCGGUAUUAAUUGUGAAACAAUUUCCACAAUGUCUUAAUUGCGUGCCAAAGCUCGUAACUCAGAUACUCAUCUCUAUGAUCAUAUCAUAGACAUUUUAUCCUCUUAUCACGAUGAUCUUCAACUUCACUCUGAAAUUACUUGAACCAUUCAAUAAUUCAGACUUGUGUUUCAUCAAGUAAAUAUACUUAGUAUCUACUCAAAUCAUCCGUGAAGUAAGAACAUAACGAUAUCCACUGUGUGCCUUAGCACUCAUUGGACUGCACACAUCAAAAAUGUGUUACUUCCAACAAGUUGCUAUCUAGUUCCAUCUUACUGAAAACGAGGCUUUUCAGUCAUCUUGCCCAUGUGGUAAGAUUUGCAUAUCUCAAGUGAUUCAAAAUCAAGUGAGUCCAAACGAUCCAUCUGCAUGGAGUUUCUUCAUGCGUAUACACCAAUAGACAUGGUUCGCAUGUCUCAAACUUUUCAAAAACGAGUGAGUCCAAAGAUCCAUCAACAUGGAGCUUCUUCAUGCGUUUUUAUACCAAUAUGACUUACAUGGCAGUGCCACAAGUAAGUGGUACUAUCAUUACUAUCUUAUAUCUUUUGGCAUGAAAAUGUGUAUCACUACGAUCGAGAUUCAAUAAACCAUUCCUUUAGGUGCAAGACCAUUAAAGGUAUUGUUCAAAUAAAUAGAGUAACCAUUAUUCUCCUUAAAUGAAUAACCGUAUUGCGAUAGACAUAAUCCAAUCAUGUCUAUGCUCAACGCAAACACCAAAUGACAAUUAUUCAGGUUUAAUACUAAUCUUGAUGGUAGAGGGAGCGUGCGAUGUUUGAUCACAUCAAACUUGGAAAUACUUCCAACACACAUCGUCAGCUCACCUUUAGCUAGUCUCUGUUCGUAGCUUUUAUUUCGAGUUACUAACACUUAGCAACCGAACUGGUAUCUAAUACCCUGGUGCUACUAGGAGUACUAGUAAAGUACACAUUAACAUAAUGUAUAUCCAAUAUACUUCUAUCGACCUUGCCAGCCUUCUUAUCUACCAAGUAUCUAGGGUAAUUCUGCUUCAGUGGUUGUUCCCCUUAUUACAGAAGCACUUAGUCUCGGGUUUGGGUUCAACCUUGGGUUUCUUCACUAGAGCAGCAGCUGAUUUGCCAUUUCAUGAAGUAUCCCUUGCCCUUGCCCCUUUUGAAACUAGUGGUUUCACCAACCAUCAACAAUUGAUGCUCCUUCUUGAUUUCUACUUUCGCGGUGUCAAACAUCGUGAAUACUUCAAGGAUCAUCAUAUCUAUCCCUGAUAUGUUAUAGUUCAUCACGAAGCUCUAGCAGCUUGGUGGCAAUGACUUUUGAGAAACAUCACUAUCUCUGGAAGAUCAACUCCCACUCGAUUCAAGUGAUUGUCGCACUCAGACAAUCUGAGCACAAGCUCAACGAUUGAGCUUUUCUCCCUUAGUUUGCAGGCUAGAAAAAUCGUCGGAGGUCUCAUACCUCUUGAUGUGGGCACGAGCCUGAAAUCCCAAUUUCAGCCCUCGAAACAUCUCAUAUGUUCCGCGACGUUUCGAAAACGUCUUUGGUGCCUCAACUCUAAAUCGUUUAACUGAACUAUCACGUAGUUAUCAAAACGUGUAUGUCCGAUGUUCGCAACAUCCACAGACGACGUUUGGGGUUCAGCACACUGAGCGGUGCAUUAAGGACAUAAGCUUUCUAUUGUUCGCAUAAUCGCUACUGUCAACUUUCAACUAUAUUUUCUCUAGGAACAUAUCUAAACAGUGGAACUAAAGCGCUAGCUUACGACAUAAUUUGCAAAGAUCUUUUGACUAUGUUCAGGAUAAUUAAGUUCAUCUUAUGAACUCCCACUCAGAUAGACAUCCCUCUAGUUAUCUAAGUGAUUACAUGAUCCGAGUCAACUAGGCCGUGUCCGAUCAUCACGUGAGACGGACUAGUCAUCAUCGGUGAACAUCUUCAUGUUGAUCAUAUCUACUAUACGACUCAUGCUCGACCUUUUGGUCUCUUGUGUUCCGAGGCAAUGUGUGUACAUGCUAGGCUCGUCAAGUCAACCUAAGUGUUCCGCGUGUGUAAAUCUGUCUUACACCCGUUGUAUGUGAACGUAAGAAUCUAUCACACCCGAUCAUCACGUGGUGCUUCGAAACGACGAACUUUCGCAACGGUGCACAGUUAGGGGGGACACUUUCCUGAAAUUUUAAUGAGGGAUCAUCUUAUCUACUACCGUCGUUCUAAGCAAAUAAGAUGCAUAAACAUGAUAAACAUCACAUGCAAUCAAAUGGUGACAUGAUAUGGCCAAUAUCAUUUUGCUCCUUUUGAUCUCCAUCUUCGGAGCUCCAUGAUCAUCAUCAUCACCGGCAUGACACCAUGAUCUCCAUCAUCAUGAUCUCCAUCAUCGUGUCUCCAUGAAGUUGUCUCGCCAACUUAUUACUUCUACUACUAUGGCUACCGGUUAGCAAUAAAGUAAAGUAAUUACAUGACGUUGUUCAAUGACACGCAGGUCAUUCAAUAAAUAAAGACAACUCCUAUGGCUCCUGUCGGUUGUCAUACUCAUUGACAUGCAAGUAGUGAUUCCUAUUACAAGAACAUGAUCAAUCUCAUACAUCACAUAUCAUUCAUCACAUUCUUCUUGGCCAUAUCACAUCACAAAGCGUACCCUGCAAAAACAAGUUAGACGUCCUCUAAUUAUUGUUUGCAUGUUUUACGUGGCUGCUAUGGGUUUCUAGCAAGAACGUUUCUUACCUACGCAAAAGCCACAACGUGAUAUGCCAAUUGCUAUUUACCCUUCAUAAGGACCCUUUACAUCGAAUCCGAUCCGACUAAAGUGGGAGAGACUGGCACCCGCUAGCCACCUUAUGCAACAAGUGCAUGUCAGUCGGUGGAACUUGUCUCACGUAAGAGUACGUGUAAGGUCGGUUCGGGCCGCUUCAUCCCACGAUGCCGCCGAAUCAAGAUUGGACUAGUAACAGUAAGCAUAUUGAACAAAAUCAAAGCCCACAACUACUUUUUGUUCUACUCGUGCAAAGAAUCUACGCAAUAGACCUAGCUCAUGAUGCCACUGUUGGGGAACGUAGCAGAAAUCCAAAAUUUUCCUACGUGUCACCAAGAUCUAUCUAUGGAGAAACCAGCAACGAGGGGAAGGAGAGUGCAUCUACAUACCCUUGUAGAUCGCUAAGCGGAAGCAUUCAAGAGAACGGGGUUGAAGGAGUCGUACUCGUCGUGAUCCAAAUCACCGGAGAUCCUAGUGCCGAACGGAUGGCACCUCCGCGUUCAACACACGUACAGCCCGGUGACGUCUCCCAUGCCUUGAUCCAGCAAGGAGAGAGGGAGAGGUUGAGGAAGACUCCAUCCAACAGCAGCACAACAGCGUGGUGGUGAUGGAGGAGCGUGGCAAUCCUGCAGGGCUUCACCAAGCACCGCGGGAGAGGAGGAGUACUUGGGAGAGGGGGAGGGCUGCGCCAGAACUUGUGGUGCGGCUGCCCUCCCACCCCCCACAUAUAUAUAGGGGCAAAAGAAAGGGGGGCCGGCCCCCUCAGAUCCAAUCUGAGGAGGGGGCGGCGGCCAAGGGGGGGAGGAGUGCCUCCCAAGUCAAGUGGAGGCCCUCCCCCUUAGGGUUUUCCCCUUCCCAUGCACAUGGGCCUUGGGGGGGCUGGUUCCCCUGGCCCAUUAAGGCUAGGGAGCCCCCUUACAGCCCAUGCUGCUGUAUUGUACGUGGUGGAACAAUUUCUGGACCUCCGGACCCCUCCGGAAUCCUCCGGAACCUUCUGGAAGCUUCCCGGUACAAUACCGGAAAAACCCGAACUUUUCCCGGAACCCGAACAACAACUUUCCAUAUAUAAAUCUUUACCUCCGGACCAUUCCGGAACUCCUCGUGACGUCCGGGAUCUCAUCCGGGACUCCGAACAACAUUCGGUAACCACAUACAAACUUCCUUUAUAACCCUAGCGUCAUCGAACCUUAAGUGUGUAGACCCUACGGGUUCGGGAGACAUGUAGACAUGACCGAGACGUUCUUCGGUCAAUAACCAACAGCGGGAUCUGGAUACCCAUGUUGGCUCCCACAUGUUCCAUGAUGAUCUCAUCGGAUGAACCACGAUGUCAAGGACUCAAUUGAUCCCGUAUACAAUUCCCUUUGUCUAACGGUAUUGUACUUGCCCGAGAUUCGAUCGUCAGUAUGUCGAUACCUAGUUCAAUCUCGUUACCGGCAAGUCUCUUUACUCGUUCCGCAACACAUCAUCCCGUGAUCAACCCUUUGAUCACAUUGUGCACAUUAUGAUGAUGUCCUACCGAGUGGGCCUAGAGAUACCUCUCCGUUUACAUGGAGUGACAAAUCCCAGUCUCGAUUCGUGCCAACCCAACAGACAUUUCCGGAGAUACCUGUAGUGCACCUUUAUAGCCACCCAGUUACGUUGUGACAUUUGGUACACCCAAAGGAUUCCUACUGUAUCCGGGAGUUGCACAAUCUCGUGGUCUAAGGAAAUGAUACUUGACAUUAGAAAAGCUUUAGCAUACAAACUACGAUCUUUGUGCUAGGCUUAGGAUUGGGUCUUGUCCAUCACAUCAUUCUCCCAAUGAUGUAAUCCCGUUAUCAAUGACAUCCAAUGUCCAUGGUUAGGAAACCGUAACCAUCUAUUGAUCAACGAGCUAGUCAACUAGAGGCUUACUAGGGACAUGGUGCUGUCUAUGUAUCCACACAUGUAUCUGAGUUUCCUAUCAAUACAAUUAUAGCAUGAAUAAUAAACGAUUAUCAUGAACAAGGAAAUAUAAUAAUAACUAAUUUAUUAUUGCCUCUAGGGCAUAUUUCCAACACUAUGCACACGAGGUGUUUGAUGGAAUGCCUGAGCCACACUACUUAAGCUUUCUCCUCUCCAAGCUCGACCUCCAAGCUCCAUUUUCCUCAAUAUUUGUCUAGGUUUAGCGGUCCGUCACGUCCCGUCCCCGUCUUCACCGCCGUCGAUCGCCCGCGCCGAUCUCGUCGCCGGCACCACCGUGGUGAGCCUCUUGUUCUUAUCUUCUUUCUGAAAGGAAAAAAAUUCUUACUUGUAUGUUUAUAUAGAUACUUGUAUAAUUUUCUUACUUUUAUUAUUGCAUCUUAUAUAGUGCGAUGGUUUUGGUAUCCGCCCCCGUCAGCCCUCGUCCUGUCUAUGAUUCGGAUGUGGUAUAUAUUAUCUUUUCAUAACUAUUGGUUCAUUUAUUGUUUAUGACAAUUAUGCCGACCAAUGUGACAUAGAUUUUAUUUAUCUAGGAGGUUGUUGAACCGGAAAUUCCAACCGACCCUAUUGUCGAGAGGUUAAAUUUAGUUGAAGAAGAAAACAAUUUGUUGAAGGAAAAACUUAGAAAAAUUGAGGAGGAGAAGAUGAUAUUGGAGUUGCAUGUUGCGGAUGUCGUCGAUGAUCAAAAGAUCAAGAUGGAUGCAAUGCGCUUGAAGAUUAGAAAGAUUAGAAAAUAUGCCAUUCAUACCGAGGCUUGGUAUCAUUAUGUCGUUGGAUCAGUUGUUACAUUGGUUGCGAUUAUGAUCGCAUUUGUCUUCGCAUUGAAAUGUUUUACAUAAUUUCAAUUCAUGGUUUAAUUAAUUUAGAUGCUCUGCAGAGCUUUAUGUUGUUAGAUGAGAACUAUGUAUGUACUUUGGUUUUAAUGUGAUGAUGAACUUCUAUUAAUUUGGUCACUUAAUUAUCUAUUCAUGAUGUUCUGUAAUGAUUUUUGAUGCACUUAAUUAUAUAUAAUGCACGCAGAUGAACCGACAAUGGAUGUACGGUUCAAGACACACCUCCAAGUACAUUAAGGGCAUGCAUGAUUUUCUCGAAGUGGCUGAGGCAAACAAGCAGAAUGGUUUUAUGUGUUGUCCAUGCCCUAUAUGUGGGAAUACGAAGUCUUACUCUGACCGGAAAAUCCUCCACACCCACCUGCUUUACAAGGGUUUCAUGCCACACUAUAAUGUUUGGACGAGGCAGGAAGAAAUAGGGGUUAUGAUGGAAGACGGCGAAGAAGAAGAGUACGAUGACAACUAUGUGCCCCCUGAAUAUGGUGAUGCUACUGAACAUCAAGAGGAACCAGACGAUGUGCACGAUGAUGCUGCAACGGGCGAAGCUGCUGAAGAUCAAGAGGAACCAGACGAUGUGCCCGAUGAUGAUGAUCUCCGCCGGGUCAUUGUCGAUGCAAGGACGCAAUGCGAAAGUCAAAAGGAGAAGUUGAAGUUCGAUCGCAUGUUAGAGGACCACAAAAAAGGGUUGUACCCCAAUUGCGAAGAUGGCAACACAAAGCUCGGUACCGUACUGGUAUUGCUGCAGUGGAAGGCAGAGAAUGAUGUGCCUGACAAAGGAUUUGAGAAGCUACUGAAAAUAUUGAAGAAGAAGCUUCCAAAGGAUAACGAAUUGCCCGACAGUACAUACGCAGCAAAGAAGGUCGUAUGCCCUCUAGGAUUGGAGGUGCAGAAGAUACAUGCAUGCCCUAAUGACUGCAUCCUCUACCGCGGUGCGUACAAGGAUCUGAACGCAUGCCCGGUAUGCGGUGCAUUACGGUAUAAGAUCAGACGAGAUGACCCUGGUGAUGUUGACGGCGAGCCCCUCAGGAAGAGGGUUCCUGCGAAGGUGACGUGGUAUGCUCCUAUAAUACCACGGUUGAAACGUCUGUUCAGAAACGGAGAGCAUGCCAAGUUGAUGCGAUGGCACAGUGAGGACCGUAAGAAAGACGAGAAGUUGAGAGCACUCGCUGACGGGUCGCAGUGGAGAAAAAUCGAGAGAAAGUACUGGGAUGAGUUUGCAAGUGAGCCAAGGAACGUAUGGUUUGCUUUAAGCGCGGAUGGCAUUAAUCCUUUCGGGCAGCAGAGCAGCAAUCACAGCACCUGGCCCGUGACUCUAUGUAUGUAUAACCUUCCUCCUUGGAUGUGCAUGAAGCGGAAGUUCAUUAUGAUGCCAGUUCACAUCCAUGGCCCUAAGCAACCCGGCAACGACAUUGAUGUGUACCUAAGGCCAUUAGUUGAAGAACUUUUACAGCUGUGGAAUGGAAACGGUGUAUGUACGUGGGAUGAGCACAAACAGGAGGAAUUUAACCUAAAGGCGUUGCUGUUCGUGACCAUCAACGAUUGGCCCGCUCUUAGUAACCUUUUAGGACAGACAAACAAGGGAUACCACGCAUGCACGCACUGUUUACUUAACACCGAUAGUUUAUACCUGGCAAGCUGCAGGAAGGAUGUGUACCUGGGCCAUCAUUGAUUUCUUCCGACCAACCAUCAAUGUCGAAAGAAAGGCAAGCAUUUCAAAGGCGAGGCAGAUCACCGGAAGAAGCCCGCCAUGCGUACCGGUGAUCACGUACUUGCUAUGGUCAAUGAUUUACACGUAAUCUUUGGAAAGGGUCCCGGCAGACUAGCUGUUCCGAGUGACGCUGGGGGACACGCACCCAUGUGGAAGAAGAAAUCUAUAUGUUGGGACCUACCCUACUGGAAAGACCUAGAGGUCCGCUCUUCGAUCGACGUGAUGCACGUGACGAAGAACCUUUGCGUGAACCUGCUAGGCUUCUUGGGCGUGUAUGGGAAGACAAAAGAUACAACUGAGGCACGGGAGGACCUACAACAUUUGCACGAAAAAGACGGCAUGCCUCCAAAGCAGUAUGAAGGUCCUGCCAGCUAUGCUCUUACCAAAGAAGAGAAGGAAAUCUUCUUUGAAUGCCUGCUUAGUAUGAAGAUCCCGACUGGCUUCUCGUCGAAUAUAAAAGGAAUAAUAAAUAUGUUAGAGAAAAAGUUUCAGAACCUAAAGUCUCAUGACUGCCACGUGAUUAUGACGCAACUGCUUCCGGUUGCAUUGAGGGGGCUUCUACUGGAAAACGUCCGAUUAGCCAUUGUGAAGCUAUCUUCAUUCCUCAAUACAAUCUCUCAGAAGGUGAUCGAUCCAGAAAUCAUACCAAGGCUAAGGAGUGAUGUGGUGCAAUGUCUUGUCAGUUUCGAGCUGGUGUUCCCACCAUCCUUCUUCAAUGUCAUGACGCACGUCCUAGUUCAUCUAGUUGACGAGAUUGUCAUUCUGGGCCUCGUAUUUCUACACAAUAUGUACCCCUUUGAGAGGUUCAUGGGAGUCCUAAAGAAAUAUGUCCGUAACCGCGCUAGUCCAGAAGGAAGCAUCUCCAUGGGCCAUUAAACAGAGGAUGUCAUCGGGUUUUGUGUUGACUUCAUUCCUGGCCUUAAGAAGAUAGGUCUCCCUAAAUCACGGUAUGAGGGGAGACUGACUGGAAAAGGCACGCUUGGAAGGGAAUCAAUAAUAUGCAGGGACGGAUAUUCUUGGUCUCAAGCACACUACACAAUUCUACAGAACUCUACCUUGGUGACCCCGUAUGUCGAUGAACACAAUAACAGACUGCGCUCCAAACACCUGGAGCAGUGCGACGACUGGAUUACAUGUGAACACAUCAGGACUUUCAGCAGUUGGUUGGAAGCACAUAUCAGAGGUGACAACACUAUUUGUGAUGAGCUGUACUUGUUGUCCAGGGGACCAUCUUUGACUGUAUUGAUUUGGAAAGGAUACAAGAUAAACGGGAAUACAUUUUACACGAUUGACCAAGAUCAAAAGAGCACCAACCAAAACAGCGGUGUCCACUUUGAUGCAACAACCGAGAGGGGAAAGGACACACAUUAUGGUUACAUAGUGGACAUAUGGGAACUUGACUACGGACAUGAUUUUAAGGUCCCUUUGUUUAAGUGUAAAUGGCUCAAUCUGUCACGAGGAGGGGUACAGGUAGACCCACAGUACGGAAUGACAACAGUGGAUCUGAAAAAUCUUGGGUACACUGACGAAUCGUUCGUCCUAGCCAAUGAUGUGGCAUAGGUUAUCUAUGUGAAGGACAUGUCUACCAGACCGAGAAAGAGAAAAGAUAAGGAAGCGAAUACAUCAUACGAUGAGCCAAAGCGCCACGUAGUUCUUUCAGGAAAAAGGGACAUCGUGGGAGUGGAGGACAAGACAGACAUGUCUGAAGAUUAUGAAAAGUUUCAUGAAAUUCCUCCCUUCAAAGUCAAGGCUGACCCCAGCAUCCUGAUAAACGAUGAAGAUUAUCCAUGGUUACGGCGCAAUAAGCAAAUGACACAAGCGAAGAAAAAGUGAAGACUUUCUCCCGCAAAUAUUAUGAUGAUACCAUGCCAACUUUGUAACAGACGAGUAUGAUACCAUUAUCCGUUUUGUAUAUGCACAUGCUAUGUGGGUCAAUUUAUGAUACCAUGCCAACUUUCAACUUUUUCAGAGUUCAUUUGAAAUGCUUUAAUGUCUUAUGGUUCGGCCCUCGUAAUAAUUAAAAAUAGCAACAAUAAGUAUUUUGUUGUAAGUAGAAACAAAAUAAAAUAAAUAAAGCAAGAAAGAAAACAAAAAAACAAAAAAAGUGUUUUCAAAUUUGAAAACUAAUGGCACUAACANNNNNNNNNNNNNNNNNNNNNNNNNNNNNNNNNNNNNNNNNNNNNNNNNNNNNNNNNNNNNNNNNNNNNNNNNNNNNNNNNNNNNNNNNNNNNNNNNNNNNNNNNNNNNNNNNNNNNNNNNNNNNNNNNNNNNNNNNNNNNNNNNNNNNNNNNNNNNNNNNNNNNNNNNNNNNNNNNNNNNNNNNNNNNNNNNNNNNNNNNNNNNNNNNNNNNNNNNNNNNNNNNNNNNNNNNNNNNNNNNNNNNNNNNNNNNNNNNNNNNNNNNNNNNNNNNNNNNNNNNNNNNNNNNNNNNNNNNNNNNNNNNNNNNNNNNNNNNNNNNNNNNNNNNNNNNNNNNNNNNNNNNNNNNNNNNNNNNNNNNNNNNNNNNNNNNNNNNNNNNNNNNNNNNNNNNNNNNNNNNNNNNNNNNNNNNNNNNNNNNNNNNNNNNNNNNNNNNNNNNNNNNNNNNNNNNNNNNNNNNNNNNNNNNNNNNNNNNNNNNNNNNNNNNNNNNNNNNNNNNNNNNNNNNNNNNNNNNNNNNNNNNNNNNNNNNNNNNNNNNNNNNNNNNNNNNNNNNNNNNNNNNNCAAGUAGGCCCGAAAGCCUGCGGUGGAGAGGAGCUCGAGAGGGGUGCGGCAGUGGGGCUUAUAAACCACUGCGCGCCCCUCUCAACUAGCGAGGUGGGACUAAACUUUGGCCCCGAGGCGGGCAGCACAGGGGCCUUUGGUCCCGGUUGGUGGCACCAACCGGGACUAAAGGGGGAGGCAUUGGUCCCAGUUGGUGGCACCAACCGGUACUAAAGGCCGCCGGUUCCCGCCCUUUGGGCUGCCGAAAAAGAGGCCUUUGGUCCCAGUUGGUGGCACCAAUCGGGACUAAAGGGUGCAUUAGUCCCGGUUGGUGCCACCAACCGGGACUAAAGGGUUUUCUAUAUAAGCAACACUUAGCAGUUUCUGGCCAAAUCGCCCACUUCUCCCCCGACGCCCCCUGCUCCUCCUCGUCGCCGUCGCCGCCCGACGCCCCUGCUCCACCUUGCCGUCGCCGCCGCCACCGACGCCGUCAGGCUGCUCGCCUGAGCCGUCGCCGCCGCCCCCUGUGAGCAUNNNNNNNNNNNNNNNNNNNNNNNNNNNNNNNNNNNNNNNNNNNNNNNNNNNNNNNNNNNNNNNNNNNNNNNNNNNNNNNNNNNNNNNNNNNNNNNNNNNNNNNNNNNNNNNNNNNNNNNNNNNNNNNNNNNNNNNNNNNNNNNNNNNNNNNNNNNNNNNNNNNNNNNNNNNNNNNNNNNNNNNNNNNGCGCCGCCGCCCCUGCCUUGCGCGGCCGCCGUGCGCCACCCCGCCGCUCCUGCAAUUUCCAUAGCAAUUUUUUGCAUUUUUUUGUGUAUAUGUAUUUGUAUGUGUAUAUAUAUAUGUGUACAUGUUCAUAGUAUUUUUUUCAUAAGUGUAUUUUUUUGUUCAUUGCAUUUUUUUCAUAUAUAUAAUGUAUAUAUGUAUGUGGUAGCUAUAUAUAUGAUGAAUGGAUGUGGCUAUAUAUGUAUGUAUGAAUAUAAUGUUCAUAGCAUUUUUUGUUUAUAUAUGUUUUUUCAUAUAUGUAUUAAUAUUUUAUUUAGGUUGUUAGUAGAUAUCGAUUUUAGGUUAGUGCAUUUUAGGUUAGUGUAGAGGAGAAAGUAAAAUAAGGAAAAGGAAGAAAAGAGGAAGAAGGAAGAAGGAAGAAGAAGAAGAAAAAGAAUGAGAGGAAAAAGGAAAAUAAGAAGAGGAAGAAGAGGAGAGGAAGAAGAGGAGAAAUAAAUAAGAAGAGGAAAAAAGAAGAAAAAGAAGAGGAGAAGAAGAAAGGAAUAGAGGAGAAGAAGAAAAAAUAGAAAUUGUUUUCUAUUUUUUCUUCUUCUCCUCUAUUCCUUUCUUCUUCUCCUCUUUUUUUUUCUUCUUCCUUCUUCCUUCUUCCUCUUUUCUUCCUUUUCCUUAAUUAUUUUCCUUUCUCGUCAUUGUCAUGUCGUUGUCGAUAUAACCCCCUUGAGAUAACUUCGACAUGAGGGGCGGUCGAUAUAUAUACCCCCUCUCGACCGUGAUAACUUAUACAACGGCAGCACCCCCCCUCGGCCCACUCGCUCAACCAAAACUCUCGAGGACACACAAACCCUAGAGAGAAAACGAUGUUGGUCUCCUACCCCCUCCCGCUGCGCCCCUACCCGACAAAUUAACUCUCUCGAGGCCACCCAAAUUUACCAAGUUAAAAGAGCGUUGUCGUCGAGGCCACCCCAAACCCUUGAAGCGUUGUGUCGAGGCGACCCCAAACCCUAGAGAAGCAGCGUCGAGGCCACUAACAUGAUUCCUUAUUGUGACUAGCUAGCUAGUUCUACGUUUGCCACUAAUGUAUAUAUAUAUAUCCAUCUGUACCAUGUUUGAAUAAUAAUUGACAUGUUGUAAAUAUUUGCAGAAACUAUGGAGCACUCCCGAGACGAAGAAACAGAAGCGAUGUUGGGGGACAUAAUCGCAAAUGGAAGUGAUGAAGUUGCAUCAUUUCUCCUCGACAUCGAUGGACAGCUAGAAGAACUGGGUGAAGAAGAGGGCUAUGUUCAUGAUGGCUUCGGCCCAUUAAUGCCGGUACAAGAAGAGGACUAUGUUCAUGAUGGCUCCGGUGACACAAUGGAGGUACAAGAAGGAGACCGUGCUGACUGCUCUGGUGACCGAACCGAGUCAGGCCAGGUAUAUAUAUAUUAGUUAAGCCCGUGCUGACUAGUUAAUUGAUGCUUCCAUUGUUUUGGUAUAUGUACACAUAUUAAUUACUCUCGUCUUUCUUCCUUAUAAUUUCUAGCCCUCCGGAUCGAACACAACUUCGGUAAGGAGACGAGGCCCGAAGAAAAAGUUGAGCUCGGAUGAAAAGUUUGAGAUCAUAGAAAUCACGCCCGACGGCGAACCGAUUGAACCCAUCCGGACAAGGAAGGCAUUUUCUGCUCAGUGCGGGGUUCUUGUUAGGGACAAGAUCCCGAUCAGCAUCCAGCAACGGUAUAAGCCUAAGGAGGAAGACCCUGAGGUGUCUUCUGUCAAUGAUAUGCAGAAAGAAGAUCUUUGGACUGAGCUGAAGGCAAAUUUCACCCUACCGCCAGAGGAGGAUCCAGAGAAGCCAGUUAAAGAGCCAUUAAUCAAGUCUUGUGCUCUUAAGAAGAUGGCAACCCUAAUGAGGAGGUGGAGGAAAGAGCUGAACCAGUUUGUCAAAAAAAAGACACCAGAAUUCAUCGGCAAAUAUGAGAAGAUCAAAGAUCACUGGCCCGCAUUUGUGGCCCACAAGACAUCGGAAAAGAGUAAGAAGAUGUCGGUGACAAACAAGAAAAAUGCUGCAAAGAAGAAGCUUCACCAUCGCACGGGGUUAGGUGGCUACCUCAAAGCGCGGCCUAAGUGGUCCAAGGCUGAGCAUGAUCUGCUCCGGCGCGUCGUACUCCUUCUCCUCCGCCUCGUAAGCAAGCACGAAAGAAGACAGACGCCGCAGCCGCUCCGUCUGCUCCGACGUCUAGCAGCACAACCAGAGGCGGGAGGCAAUACAAAUACGGUCCAUCUCUCAAGCCUCUAGAGAAGUUACCGUAUGAGAGGUCCGAAGAGGAAAAUGAUACGAUUGUGCGGACCCAUGUGAAGGAUUUCUUUGAAGGGGUGAAAGCAAAGAGACAUCCACCUCCGAAGGAGAAGGUAGAUCCGGUGAAAGCAAAGCGCACUAUCGAUGCCCUGAGGAAACCACCAAAGUCUCCGCCGAGAACCAACUAUGAGCGCAUUACUGAACAGACAUAUCUCCAAGCCCAGCGGUAGGGAACUACUGUCAGUGAUAAAAGGUUAAAAGAACGAGCAAAGGGGAAAAAAUUGCCCAGCUCGGCGAACAAGCACAGCAAUCAUGCCCCCCGCUCAAUGUGUCUAAUGCUUCGGGGACGGUGGCCGGUUAUGAAAAUCUUGAAGAUUACCUGCCUGACGAUGCACUUCCUGAUUUCAUGGCGGUGGACGAACACAGAUACGAGUACGGAAAGCCUCUCGUCAAAGAUGAAAAAUCUCUGACAACAAUGAUGCGAAGAUUCCAUAGUUGGUACAUGAAAACCUGCAGAGAGUCUGAGGCGACGAACAGUUUGUAUCUGAACAUUAAAGAGGAGCACGACCUCGUUUCAAAUGAUCUGUUGUGUGUUCCAUUUGAUGAGUUCUUUCUUCAAUCAAAAGGCCCUCGAUAAAUUAAUGGUCUUUUGCUACUGCCUGUAAGUACUAUUUCUGUCAUUAAGUCUCUAUAUAUAGCUCUGCUCUUUCAUUGCAUGUAUUUAUAAUUAAUUAUCCUCAAUAUAUUAUGCAGAUUGAAGAUCGUCGAGUGCAAAAAACAAGAAAUUUAUGAUAUUGGGUUCAUUAACACAAAUAUCAUAGAUGUAUUUCUGGUUGAAAAGAACGUCAAAGAGGCCGAGGACAACUUGCUACGAUCGUUGAUCAAAAAUCAAAACAAAGAUAACAUACUCUUUCCUUACAACGGCAAGUGAGUGUUACUGUCGUGUAAAUAUUCGGUUUCCCUUAUUACUCGAGCGAGGUUAUAGUAAUGUAAUUGAUGAGUUAUGCAUGCGUGCGCAGGUACCACUAUAUUCUUCUGGAGAUUAAGCUUGAGCGGGGACUAGUAACCGUCUUAGACUCGAGAUGUAAAGAUCCCGAAACCUAUGCGGACAUGACUGAAAUGCUCAGCAAGUAAGUUCAAUCGAUCAUUAUCGCACCAUAUCGGCAACUUUUUGUUCAUUUCCUGAUAUCUCAAGUAAUAAUAAUUAUUUUCUUUGUCUUGCAGGGUUUGGAAACAGUUCACCGCAGAAGCUCCGGGACUGCCGAAGGAGCUGCGAUAUACAUACCCGAAAGUAAGUACUACUGGGCUAGCUAGUUGCGCGCAUCUCCCGUUGAUUCUAUAGCUAUACUUUCAUCAAUGCCAUUUAUAAUGCUUCAUUAUUAGUUUGAUUGACCUCUAUUUCUCGUAAAAUGCUUGUGGCAGGAGGAAGGGAAUGAUUUCUGUGAAUACUACGUGUGUGAGUUCAUCCACACUACGACUUUGAAAAACAAACGGGGCUAUUCUAAAAGACAAUAUGAAGUGCAUAAGCAAUAAUAUUCACAAUUUCAUUUUAUUACACCAUCAUUUCUGUUGAGUUUCAUUCAUAUAUGUAUUAAUUAACCCCUUUCUUCAAAUUAGACGUGGCAGAUGCGGAAUGAACUCCUAGAACCAGAUCGCAUGAAAGCAAUUCAAUAGGAAUUAGCGGGAUUCUUUCUUGACCACGUCAUCAGUAAAGCCGGAGAAUACCAUGUGGAAAUUGAUUUCAAAUGCUAGGGGUUUGUAAUUAAGAGAUCUUAUACAUAUUGUACAUGUGUGUAGCCAGUAGCGUCGGAUACAUGAUACGAAAACUUGUUGUUCGACCAAUCUCUCAGAGAAGGAGAGGUCGAUCGAUCACUUCUCUUGGUAUGCAUGACGAACUUCUGUACUGAAUGGUUCUCUCGAUCACUUAUGUAUAUAUAGUAUGUAGCGUCGAUCAAGCAUGGACAUAAGAGAGGACACUUCUCUCUAUUAAUUAGCUAGCUAACACAAUAUAUGAAACACCUAAAUUAACCCCCCAAAACACCCAACCCCCCUCCUUUCAAAAAAAAUAAAAACCCCAGCCACUGGAAUGCUGACGCGUGGAUGCAUUUUGGUCCCGGUUGAAGCCACCAACCGGGACCAAAGGCCCCCUGACUGGGCUCGGCGCACAGGGCCACGUGGAGGCAUAUUGGUCCCGGUUCGUGUUUGAACCGGGACUAAUGGGUGGAGGUAUUAGUAACGACCCAUUAGUCCCGGUACAUGAACCGGGACUAAAGGCCCUUACGAACCGGGACUAUUAGGUGUUUUUCUACUAGUGUAUGUAGUCCACCAUCUCCGGAUCAGAGACGGGACGGCCAGUAGCAGCUAGUUCAUCCCCGAGACUCUUCAUCUUCGCCAUGUAUGCUGAACUGGACAUGGUGCCUUUUUUGGUGUUGGUGAUCGCAAUCCUCAGAUUGGUAAUCCGAGACUGCGAUUGUGAGGCGAAGAGGUUGUUGAUUGUUGUCCAGAGCUUGAAGGUGGAGUCCCUCCCGACGACCUGUGCAAGGAUCUCAGGAGACAUGGAGUUGAGCAGAUAUGACAUAACCUGUUGAUCUUUGGCGAUCCAAGGUCCAUACAAAGGAUUCGGCUCUUGGGCCGUAGUUUUGUCCGCCUUUGGGACCUCCACCAUCUUCGGCGGAGCGGUGUCAGAGUGGUCCAGCAGCCCGGUAACCUGCGCACCUCGCAGGGCUGGGAGAACCUGCGUCUUCCAGAGGAUGAAGUUUCCUCUCGCAAGUUUUUCCGACGGAGGCGAACCAAGGUUCAGGGCAACGCCGACUGAGGAAGCCAUGACGGCGAUCGCGGAUAUGAUCUAGGGUUUUGUUUUCUGGUUUGUGGCUAGAUGUAUGGAAGAGGGGCUCUGAUGACCAUGUAAAGUUAUGAAGCGUUCCUACUCCCAUCGAGGGGAGCCGCAGCUGUAUAUAUUGAUGUGGGCAGGCGAUGCCUUGGUUUACAAGAUAGAGUUACAAGAGUUUGAAAGGGAUACAAGAAAGGAAGAGGUUGAGAUUACAUAAACUCUAACACACAGAUAUUUUAGCCUCUAUUGGGAUCAGAUAUAGCCAAUAACUGAUAUUCUAGCCUCUGUUUGUGAUGUUGGUUUCGUCUAAUAAUGUUGUGAUGAUUCAAAUUUGGCGAUCUCCACAACAGUGAAACUAAUUUUUAUUGCUCGAGUCAUACAAAGUCGCAGAUAUCAAUUUGAUGGCUUUUCCAUGUCCUGCAGGUAUCAGAGUUACGUUUCGGUGGCUGAGAUGAAGAAGUGGCUCGUUUGAUGCGAUGCACACGGAAAUUUACCCCUUAUGUAGAAUGCAGUGGUCAGAUGUGAAGUGGAUUCGUAGGAACUAAUCACUUAUUUUGCUCAAACCCGUCUUGUUAUCGAACGCAGUCAAUUGGCCAACUUACAUGGAGACAUAAGAAUUGCUUGUAUUAAUCAGUACCUUCCAGUUGAUCUUUGCUUGCAUGCAUUCUGUGUGUGUUCAUAUUUUUACUGUUUUGUUUUGCUUGUUGUUCCACGUUGUAUCUGACGGAGAGGAUUCGGCAUCAAAUUUCUGCUCCUGUCCCAUUUUGCGUGUUUGUUUUUUAUCUGUUUUCUGACUGAUCAAUGUUGAGUUGCUUGCUUUCGCUGGAUUCAGGAAGGUUUGUGUGAGAUUGCUAAUGUUUUAACCUGUUAUGAUAUAAACAUGCCACUUUGAGAUCUGCAAAACUUCACACAAGUGAUGCGCGGACGCGCGGAAACACAUUUUAUUGAUUUGUUUGGCAAUCACAGCCGUUCAACAUGAUACGACCCCAUGAUCCACUGGCCAUUCAGCUCCUUAUUUGGCAGGUUGCUGCUGGGCGUUAAACCAGGCCCCACCUCCUGUGGCACUCGUGCUUACAAGCCGCAGCGCCUUCUGCAUCUGCAAAAUGGCCAACGCGAGCACAAGAUCAUCAGCUAGAACAGACGAUUCUUCUUUGUGUCAACAGAAAAAGGAGAGACCAUGUAUAUUGCAUCGAUGUUGAGGAGAAUUCAUCCAUAAACGGAGCAGAAAUGCAAUGCAAGUAAGGUGACCCGUCGUCAUCUUACCGGUGGGCGCCGCCGACGGGCCGCAGACGGAGUCGGUGCUGCAGACCCAGAGGCAGGCGGCGCGGCUCUCCUCGGGGUAGCCUUCUUCCUUGCAUUUCUGGAUGCAGUCGACUUUGCAGAUCCAUCCGCUGCGGCUGCACCCGUCGUGGCAGGGCUGGUAGCACUCGCAGAAGGUCUCGGCGGCCGCCCGCUGCUGGGGCGGCACUGACAUGACGAGGAGCACGCACAGUGCGGCAAUGGCGGCCGCCCUCUUCUUCACCUCCAUGAUCUCCUUUCCUUGGACGUGCAAGCUAUGAGAAGGGUGGAGUGUGAAGUUGUGGCGGAC